AGUCCCACCAUCAAUCCCACAGUGUGGAGACCUUGUUGAUGCCUGUUUUCUACCCUGAAAAGUGGCUUUUGAGCCUCAUAUUUGCUUUGUGUCCCGCCUUCAAUUUUCCAUCUGUAAAGAGUUUUCUCAUCAUGUGUGCUUCUUUCCUCCAUCAAGCUGGUAACAUCUCUGUGCUCACUGCUGCUUUAAGCCCUUCCUGUUCCUGGAAAUGCUGACUAUUUUCCAGUGCCUGGAGCCUGCAGCAGCAGUGUGUCUAAACCCAGGCAGCCGACAGCACAGCUUGAGAGCUCAACUACUGCUGUAAGAUUUUGAAGACAAGCAGAUUUCACAAGGCUGCAGCUUAAAGUAUUUCUAGAAGCGAGUUCCUCUCCAGAGUUUUCAGAGAAGAUGUGUAUGAUCACUGAUACUUUCCAGUCUUGGUUUUUGGUGAGUGAGGUGAAGAAAGGGAAAUGCUGGGAAAGAGAAUGUGCAAAACCUCAGUGCAAGAAGCAGUGUCUGCUCCGCUGCAGAGCCUUCUCACAGCACAGGCAGGCUGCACGCUCCCACUGGAAACUGCAAAACAAAGAAGAGGAACUCACAGCACACAUUCUGGAGUGCCUAAGGACUAUUUCUGUUCCUGCCAACCUGCUCCCAGCCUGGACAAUAAUGAAGGCAUGCUGGUGUGGGAGGCCCCAUACAUGCCACCACGUUUUGCAGAUCAAGCGUUUGCCAUCGCAGUUUUAGAUACUUUAAUUUUUCUGCCUGGUUCAUCCAUAUUCUAGAGUACAAGAAAGUAGGAAUACUGUGGAAGUAAAUCUUCACCUGUGGUAGAUUUCUAGUUAAACUUGUUAAGCACUGGUCUGAUUUUGUAAGUUGUUCCACGUGAGCAAGCAGAGGGGCUGCAGCCAGCAGGGAGCAAGGCUUGACUGCAUCCGGUGGGGGUGGCUUUCCUGCAGGGUGACAAGUUUGAGCCAAGAGUUUUUCAAAAUAAGUUUCCUUCUUCCCAUUCCCAUAUGGGCUUCAGAAGCUGCAUGGUGGCUGUUUUCUGAGAGGAGGUGAAUCUAAAGCAAGCCAAAGUGAGUGAAGCCACAUUAGCAUUAGGGUUUGUUUGUAUGGUCAGAGGCUUAACCAUGCUGUCAGUCCUGAUGAGUACAUGGAGAAGUGGUGGCAAUUUGUGGGGAAGCCUCCAGGCUUUUGCAUGAGGUGUGGACUGACUGUGGUUGGAGCUGCGUUUUUUCUUCCCCCUGUAUAAGUGACCUCCUUGGAAAAUAAACCCCAGGACUUGUGUCAGAGGAGUGCUCUGCAUGCCUUGAAUGGUUCCACACACGGCUGCGGUGUGUGUAGCUGUGUGUGUACAUGGAAUAGCCGUGCUCACACCAACAUCCUCCCUCAAGAAUCCUGCUGCGGGAGGACAGUUAUAAAUAACUUUGGCCACUAUAAUUGUUCUGCCAGUACAGGCUGCCAGAGAAACACAUUGACUCAGCACAUGCCUGAGCAAGGUCCUCUCCCAGGCAGCACCUCCCACCGUACAAACGUCCCUGCAAACCCUGUAGGUGCCUGGUGGGACAGCGAGCCCCAUCUGGCUGCUGCUGCGAGCUGCCAUCAGCCAGUGCUGAAUCAGAUUAAUGUUUGGAAAACAUACUGAGGACAAAAAAAAGCACUGCUUAGGCACUAGUUGAUAUUAUUUCAGUGGCCCCAGUGACAAUUCUGUUAUUGCAGGAGCUGCAGGUGCCUUUCCACGCAGUGGUAACUCUGGGUGUUCUCAGUGGAAAAAUGAGCGUUCUUCUGCCGCUCUCACGGAGCUGCGCUGGUCUUUACCAAGCCAAGUAAGAUGGCCUGGCAUGUGUUCAGUGACAAGAGGAACAAAAUUGUCCCUCAUGCAAGCGUCCUUAACAUCUACUGCUGCUAUGGCUUUUAUGCCUCUUCUGGCUGCCUCAGUCUUGCCAAAGACAGCUCCCUGGCCCUGUACCAGGCAGGAGGCUACAAUCAAAUUUUCUUGCUGUUGUUCCUGAAACUAUAUGAAUUCUUUUUGAUAAUUACAUGGGAGGCUCUUGUUCUUAUUUUUAAAAUUGCUUUCAAGAUAGUAAUUAGGAAGCUGUCAUUGUUCAUUCCUUCAAAGCAGGUUCUACAUGGAGUAAAGAACCUAGAGAUGUGAUUUACUUUAUAUCACUUGGGGUACCACAAUGGUUAUAAAAGAAUCCAAAUGUAAUUUUCCUGGGAAAAUAAUUCCUCUGUUAUAUAGGCCCUUUUUUGCUAUACAUUUCAGGGCCUGUUUUACCAGUGCGAUUUGAAAUUAUUCAGAAGAAAUCCCUGACUUUUUUUGUUUGUGCAAGUAUCAAAUCUCCAUUUUUUAUUCUGCUAAUUCUCUCUUGGAGACUGCUUUUUUAUUAAUGUCUAAAAGUAAUUGCAAACUCUAACUUUCCAAGAACCUAUUGAAUGUACACAGCGUGUUCCCUUGAAUGCAUGUCUCCAUUUAAACCAGCACAAUUACUUGGAGGUACACAGGUCUACUAAGGUGUUAUUCUUGCAUUGCUGUAUCUCUUUCCUGAAAUGGUGAUGCAGCAUGCCUUUAUGUGAGUAAAAUCAUAUGUACAGUAAAUAUUUUACUAGUAUAACUACUUUGGUAAAAUAAAAUCAUACCCAGUCUAAUUAUAAUGAAAAUACCCAGGGUGUUGACCAAGACUCACCUGUUAAUUCCUUAUUACAGUAUGUUUCCAGCUGCAACAGAAUUUAAAUAUCAUAUUUUCUCUUGUGGGUUAUUUGAAUUUUUUUCCAUAAUGUCACAGAUUUAUUAUUUCUGAAUACAAUUACAACAUCAGUUACAAUGGGAACGUUUUUAUCUUUGCCCUAUGUCCCACAGAGACAAACCUUGAGAAGUCAAACUGUAAGCUUUCAAAAAUAAGCUUAUCUGUGAGGUUAAACAAGGUGUGGCAACCCUGACAUGGGAUUCCUGCAUCAAGAAAAUGUUAUUUUUCUAGCCCCUUGUAGUGGUCCUCAUUCUACAAUGUGAAAAUACUUUUAUAGAUUUGUAUUUAUGUAUUUUUAGCACUGUUAUAUUCUGUGUUUUCAGUGGAGAUGUUAUAUUUAGAAGUUUCUAAAAAUGUGGAGCAUGUGUUAGGUUUUUUUUGCGUAAUCCAUCAAGACUAAUUUGAUUUGAGACCGGUGCCUUUUUUUCCCCCCAUCUGUUUGGAAAAGUGCAGUUGUAGAGACAUCAGUCAUGUAACACUUUCUACAAAACAGCUUUACUGACAGUUGGGAGUUGUCAGUAACCAUGUGGAUUUCAAGCUCUCAGUCUGGCUAUGAUGAGAAAAACUCUCUGACACAUAAUUUCCACAGAGCCACAGAAUUUGAGGCUGGAAAGACCCAGAGUGCUCAUCUAGCUGACCUCCCACCCAGACAACCCAGAGGUAAGUCAUGUUUCAAGCCUAAUAGCUGCAGAAAACAGCAGCUUUUGGGACAAACAUACACUCAAUUUAACAGCAUUUUCACACCAAUCACCACUGAUUUUAUUUUGUAUAUAUGUUGUGUACAUAACUGAGGCUUGUUUCCUGUUUCAACUGAUCUAAUUUCAACUUCCAGCCUUUGGGAAAGCUUUAAGAGAUUCUGAGUCUGUGUUCCCUGUCUAACUAUGUGGAGACCAAACUCAGUUUUGGGUGGGGAUAGAACAGGCAGAUGCCCCAGGAAAGCAAAUUCCUGGAAGCAGGAGAAGAGUUCUGCAGAGGUAAACCCAUGUCCCUGCUGCCCAUGCCCGCAGUCCACUGAGAGUUUGCUACCCAGUGCUGGGGCAGAGGCAGGAGCAGGGGCUUGCAGGGCUUGGCACAGGCUUGGUGGGCUUGACGUGGACUUGCAGGGCUCUGCCUUUGUGUAGGAGAUGGAGGAAAGCACUUCAAAGUGCCCAUAAAGGCUCUUUUCAUUUCAAAUAAGAAGAAGCAAAACUCCUUUUUGCCCGUGUCAUUGAGAAAUGUGGGAUUUUCUCUUCAGACCAGUGCAGCGUUCUCCACUGUGUUCACCUUUGUGAAGAUACCAUGCUGAAGUGUUUCCAUCUCUCAUUGUAAGGUGUUUUAUAGCCUCUAGGAUUCUCUCCUGUUCAUUUGUGUCCCACUCAGGAGGUGGCCUGAACAGAACAGCCCAUGAAGGCCAGUGUUAGAGGUGACAUAAGGUACUGCAUCAUACUUGGCCUAUAUCCAUGUCUUUUCCCUAACCCUGGCUCAUCAGCAUGGGCUCUCUUCUGCUGUGAGUCUUUCAUCCUUCUAUGUGUCUGAGCUUGCUUUUGGCUGCAUUGGAAAGAUUAUGGUUUUCCCACGCAAAUGAUCAAGCUGACUGUUUGGGUUAGAAUCUUUCCUCCUUGUUGCAUACUGUUGCACUGAUUUUGGAGUUUUUUAAAAAUCUUACUCAGGAAUCAUUGUAGCAAAUAUUUUGUGCAGUGCAAAAAUAAGAAAUCAUGUAUAUUCAGCUACCUUCUUGCAAAUUGGAGAUGAAUUAACUUAAUCUUAUUUAUUAUAAUAUUUUUCUAUCAUUUCAUACUGUUAUCAUUUUAUUUAGUUACUUCUAGAAUCAAGGGGUUCAUCUAGGUCAACAUCCUGCUUGAAAUGGGGCUGUGACCAAUAGUGGAUGAGGUCAGCCACACUACAGAUGAAUCCUGAAACACCUUCAGGAGCAGAAGUUCCACAGGCUCUCUGGGCAGCCUGUGUCAGGCUCUGCCAGUGAACAUGUCCUGUCCAGACCUCAGCAUGUAUUCCCUCCUACAGCCUUUAGCACUAAGAAGUUUGGCUCUCUUCUGUAUAGCCAUCCUGUUCCAGCAGCCCUUAGCCUUCCCUUGAUCAGAUUCAACAGGCUCAGCUCCCUCAGCCCCUCUCAUGUUGCUCCAGGCCUCUGAUGAUCUCAGCAGUGCUUUACUGGACCCUUUCCAAAUUGACACUUCUGGCCUUAUGCCCUCUGUAAUCCCCAACUCCUUUUAAGCAGGAUGGCUCCUCAGUGAGGUGCUUCCCAGCCUGGAACAGAUCAUGUUUCCUUGUUGAACAUCAUGGGGUGUCUGUUGGCCCGGAUCUCGAGUAUAUAAAGGAGCCUCUGCAUGGGAGCUUUGCUGUUUGUCAGUGCAGGCAGCUUAAGUCAUCAACAAAUCUGACAGUGUCACCAUCAAGGUAUCUGAUGAAGAUACUGAACAGUGUGGAUUUUGGUACUGACCCCAUGGGUGCACCUCUGGUUGCUGGUGACCUGUCAGGCGUGACCAGACAGUUUUCAGUCCCUCUUUCAACCUGUUUUUUUGGCCCACACCCUCUAAGCUUCCAAAUGAUAUUAUGUGGAAUGAUGUCAAUACCUUACAGGGUACAGUACAGGCAGCACUUUC